AGCCUUAGAAGUAAUAAUACAUUAGAUUGCAAAUCUAGAAAAGCAGGUUAGCUACCAGCCGGAGCUU
rnacentral:tRNA from 1 species